ACGGAAGGCAGCAGUAGGGAAUCUUGCACAAUGGGCGAAAGCCUGAUGGAGCAACGCCGCGUGUGUGAUGAAGGGUUUCGGCUCGUAAAACACUGUUGUAAGAGACGAAUGACAUUGAGAGUAACUGUUCAAUGUGUGACGGUAUCUCACCAGAAAGGACCGGCUAAAUACGUGCCAGCAGCCGCGGUACUACGUAUGUUCCAAGCGUUAUCCGGAUUUAUUGGGCGUAAAGCGAGCGCAGACGGUUAUUUAAGUCUGAAGUGAAAGCCCUGAGCUCAACUGAGGAACUGCUUUGGAAACUGGAUGACUUGAGUGCAGUAGAGGAAAGUGGAACUCCAUGUGUAGCGGUGAAAUGCGUAGAUAUAAGGAAGAACACCAGUGGCGAAGGCGGCUUUCUGGACUGUAACUGACGUUGAGGCUCGAAAGUGUGGGGAGCAAACAGGAUUAGAUACCCUGGUA
rnacentral:rRNA from 1 species